GUGCUGGCGGCAGCUACCAUGCAGUCGAGCGGAACGAUCCUAGCUUGCUAGGAGGCGUCGAGCGGCGGACGGGUGAGUAAUGCAUAGGAAUCUGCCCGGUAGUGGGGGAUAACCUGGGGAAACCCAGGCUAAUACCGCAUACGCCCUACGGGGGAAAGCAGGGGAUCUUCGGACCUUGCGCUAUCGGAUGAGCCUAUGUCGGAUUAGCUAGUUGGUGAGGUAACGGCUCACCAAGGCUGCGAUCCGUAGCUGGUCUGAGAGGAUGAUCAGCCACAUCGGGACUGAGACACGGCCCGAACUCCUACGGGAGGCAGCAGUGGGGAAUAUUGGACAAUGGGCGAAAGCCUGAUCCAGCCAUGCCGCGUGUGUGAAGAAGGCCUUCGGGUUGUAAAGCACUUUCAGUGAGGAAGAAAGCCUUGAGGUUAAUACCCUCGAGGGAGGACAUCACUCACAGAAGAAGCACCGGCUAACUCCGUGCCAGCAGCCGCGGUAAUACGGAGGGUGCGAGCGUUAAUCGGAAUUACUGGGCGUAAAGCGCGCGUAGGCGGCUUGAUAAGCCGGUUGUGAAAGCCCCGGGCUCAACCUGGGAACGGCAUCCGGAACUGUCAGGCUAGAGUGCAGGAGAGGAAGGUAGAAUUCCCGGUGUAGCGGUGAAAUGCGUAGAGAUCGGGAGGAAUACCAGUGGCGAAGGCGGCCUUCUGGACUGACACUGACGCUGAGGUGCGAAAGCGUGUGUAGCAAACAGGAUUAGAUACCCUGGGUAGUCA
rnacentral:rRNA from 1 species